AACGAACGCUGGCGGCAGGCUUAACACAUGCAAGUCGAGCGCCCCGCAAGGGGAGCGGCAGACGGGUGAGUAGCGCGUGGGAACGUACCCUUUGCUACGGAAUAGCUCCGGGAAACUGGAAUUAAUACCGUAUGUGCCCUACGGGGGAAAGAUUUAUCGGCAAAGGAUCGGCCCGCGUUGGAUUAGCUAGUUGGUGGGGUAAUGGCCUACCAAGGCGACGAUCCAUAGCUGGUCUGAGAGGAUGAUCAGCCACAUUGGGACUGAGACACGGCCCAAACUCCUACGGGAGGCAGCAGUGGGGAAUAUUGGACAAUGGGCGCAAGCCUGAUCCAGCCAUGCCGCGUGAGUGAUGAAGGCCUUAGGGUUGUAAAGCUCUUUCACCGGAGAAGAUAAUGACGGUAUCCGGAGAAGAAGCCCCGGCUAACUUCGCGCCAGCCGCCGCGGUAACAC
rnacentral:rRNA from 1 species